rnacentral:rRNA from 1 species
UACAGAGGUCUCAAGCGUUGUUCGGAUUCAUUGGGCGUAAAGAGCUCGUAGGCGGUGUGUCACGUCGGCCGUGAAAACCUGGGGCUUAACUCUGGGCGUGCGGUCGAUACGGGCAUCACUAGAGUUCGGCAGGGGAGACUGGAAUUCCUGGUGUAGCGGUGAAAUGCGCAGAUAUCAGGAGGAACACCGGUGGCGAAGGCGGGUCUCUGGGCCGAUACUGACGCUGAGGAGCGAAAGCAUGGGUAGCGAACAGG